rnacentral:rRNA from 1 species
UAGCGGAGGGAGCUAGCGUUAUUCGGAAUAGCUGGGCGUAAAGCGUGCGCUAGGCGGUUUUCCAAGACAGAUGUGAAAUCCCCCGGGCUCAACCUGGGGAAUGGCAUUUGUGACUGGAAGGCUAGAGUGUGUCAGGAGGGGGUAGGAAUUCCACGUGUAGCAGUGAAAUGCGUAGAGAUGUGGAGGAAUACCGAUGGGCGAAGGCAGCCCCCCUGGGGACGUAACACUGACGCUCAUGCAACGAAAGGCGUGGGGGAGCAAACAACGG